GUCAAAAUGCCCUUUCCGAUUGGGGAAUCCAGGCAGGGCCUGAGACUCUGCAUUCUAACAAGCUCCCUGAGGAGGAGGCGGCUGCUAGCCCUGCACGCUCUUUCUAGCAGGCUCUGUGCCAUCCCCACCACAGGCGAGAGAGACCAUCCCGCUCAGCUGCUUCCACCCCCACUGCCUGCCUGCCAUUCAGGUGUCCCCGGGAUGACCACACGCCUGCUAGCACCGUGAUAAAGGAGGGGAAGCCUUUGCCCUAGCACGUCAGGGAUCUCAGAGGAAGCAGAAAGAAAACUGACACACACAGAACUGGUCCCAGGGGCUUCUUACACUGAGCCUGUAAACAGGAAGUUGCAGGAAGAGGCACUUCCAAUAAUUCUGUCAAGUGAAGCACUCUAGUGUUCUCUCCUGCUGGUAUUUCAAGGCUGAGCCUUGGAGAUGAUUUACAUUACAGGAGAAUUUGAGAUUCUUUAUCAUAAAAAUAAUAAGUCCAACCUCCUGCAAUUAUUACCAUUUUAUCCAGCACUUACAGUGUGUCUGGCUCUGUGCCAGGGCCUCACACCAGGGCUUCUCAAAGACUGAUGUGUGGUAGCAAGUGGCACCACCUUUCACCAGCUGCUCAAGGCCAAAAAUCCUGAGUCCUCUUGCCCUCAUGCCUGAGACAAAAUCCAUCCCCAUGUCUAAUGACUCCAUCUACAAAAUAUACUGGGAAUCUGACCACUUCUCACCACCCCCACUACUACCAUCCUGGCUCCAGUCACCGUCUCCUGUUGCCUUUGCUCUUACAGCAGCCUUUGGACUCAGCCGCUGGCUUCCACCUUGCUGUGUCCCCUCCUGCCCGUGGACACUCUCCAGCCACACCACAGCCACGAGGAUCCUUUCAGACCUAAGUCCCUCCCCUGCAUGGAACCCUCCUAGCUCCCUCACUCAGAGCACAACCCACACCUCCACUGGCUACCAA